UCAGUCACUAUCCUAUUUACCCUCACCUAACCAGACAACUUCCCUCACUUUUCCACCAAUCAGAAAAAUUUGUCUCUUUUUCUCUCUCCCUUACUUGUAACUCUCUCCUUUCUGUAAUACCAAGGAUCAUCAUCAAACUUUAUAGAUCAAGCCUAAAAUUAUCACCAUCAAGAUCCUCUCAUCCUCACAAACCCAUUCAUACCAACUGAUCACGAAAUGGACAAGUUUUGAGUGUCCAACUUGGAGCUCUGACUCGGGCGUGGAUUCUUCGACGUUUUCCUGUGCAAGUUACAACGUUUUGGGAGUUUUGGAAGCACCUACGCAACUCCCCGUGGCCACUAGACUAGGGUUGAAGUGGAGCCGAUGUGAAAACACACAAUUUUGAGAUGACGAGUUUGGGUCCGGGGCUAUCAAGUCUAUUUUGAUCCAUUUUCGUCCACCUUUUGGAAUUUUAAGAGAAAUCGAUGAAUUUUUCCAGAUUCCGACGAACUAGACGGUGGCAAACAGCAGAGGUCAACCGGAGAAGAAGGAGAAUAUUUCGUUAAAGUUAACCGAAUAUUUUGACGCCGUUAGGUGAGAAUUACCCCGAGGACAACCAAGGCUAGGAGGCUACGAUCCAUGACGUAUUAGUGAGUGGACAUUUGUUUUCGUGUGUGUGUGUGUGUGUAUAUAUAUAUAGAAACUUUAUAGUUUCCACAUAUGCUUUGGAUUGAUUUUACACCUAACUUGCCAUGUUUUAUUUAAUCUUUAAAAUGCCAUUAUUUAGUGAGAUUUAUAUAUAUUCAUGGCAUGCUCAUAUGCAUUAUACUUGCUCAUCAUCAUGCAUGCUUGCAUCGGUGUAGUACUCGCCCCUGCCAUGGCCAGACUUCACGUUUAUGUUCACAUCGCACUGCACACUCACCUUGGAUCCAUUGUAGGUGCCAGUCAUGUCGUACAAGUUGCCUUAGGCAACUCCGACUCAUAUGUGAUGCACUUAGCGCCAGUUUUCACAUGAUUGUAGUACUAAAACGUAUAUUAUGAUUACACCCAGUCCUGUUCAUGUUAGAUUUCCUCUACAUAAACUCGUGUGUUAACAUAGAUUGAUGAGCACCUGAUUUUAUUAUGCUACUGUUAGAUAUUGUGAUUUGGCGUAUUUAUGGAUUUAUUGUUGAUUUACAUUUGAUCUCAUACUUAUAUGUAGUAUGAUUUUCUAGAAACUAUACAUGUUUUACGGUUAGGGGUUAGUAUGUUUAGAAAAUAAAUGUGUUUUAUAAACCUUUGUUUUUUCCCACUCACCCUUCUAUUUUUCACUACUCCAGGACCUAGAUAGCUGAAUUCUCUAUGGCAUUACGAGGAUUCUGCGACGGUUCUGACAUCUCCAUAAAUAAUGUAGAAGUUUUUUCCUGCCGUGUAUUAAGUAUUUUGAUUAGAUUCGACUGCACUACUUAUGUCAUAUAUGCUCCAAACAUUUGUGUUUAUGGGUUCUUCCCAUUAUUGCGCACUCUCUACUUUAGAUUAAAUAAAUAUUAGCUUUGGUUUAAA